rnacentral:rRNA from 1 species
GUGGGGAAUAUUGGGCAAUGGGCGCAAGCCUGACCCAGCAACGCCGCGUGAAGGAAGAAGGCUUUCGGGUUGUAAACUUCUUUUAAGAGGGAAGAGCAGAAGACGGUACCUCUUGAAUAAGCCACGGCUAACUACGUGCCAGCAGCCGCGGUAAUACGUAGGUGGCAAGCGUUGUCCGGAUUUACUGGGUGUAAAGGGCGUGCAGCCGGGAAGACAAGUCAGAUGUGAAAUCCCGCGGCUCAACCGCGGAACUGCAUUUGAAACUGUUUUUCUUGAGUACCGGAGAGGUCAUCGGAAUUCCUUGUGUAGCGGUGAAAUGCGUAGAUAUAAGGAAGAACACCAGUGGCGAAGGCGGAUGACUGGACGGCAACUGACGGUGAGGCGCGAAAGCGUGGGGAGCAAACAGG